AUUGAACGCUGGCGGCAUGCCUUACACAUGCAAGUCGAACGGUAACGGGCCGUCUGGUUCCGACGUGUGCGGCGCGGGUGCGUAAUACAUCUGGAAGUGCCCGAGCUCGGGGGGGAACAAGUCGGAAGCUGUGCGAAUAUCCCACACGAUCCACGGGUGAGAGCAGGGGGCCGCUACGCCUCUCGCGGUCUGAGCGGCCGAUGGCAGAUUAGGUAGUUGGUGGGGUAAAAGCUUACCAAGCCGACGAUCUGUAGCUGGUCUGAGAGGAUGAUCAGUCACACUGGAACUGAGACACGGCCCAGACUCCUACGGGAGGCAGCAGUGGGGAAUUUUGGACAAUGGGCGAAAGCCUGAUCCAGCCAUGCCGCGUGUAGGAUGAAGGCCUUCGGAUUGUAAAGUGCUUUUGUACGGAACGAAAAGCAUUAAUUUAAUACAGGGCGGUCAUGACGGUACCGACAGAAUAAGCACCGGCUAACUACGUG
rnacentral:rRNA from 1 species